rnacentral:tRNA from 1 species
GCGCCCGUAGCUCAACUGGAUAGAGCGAUUGCCUACGGAGCAAUAGGUUAGAGGUUCGAUUCCUCUCGGGCGCAUCA